ACGAAAGUCUGACCGAGCAACGCCGCGUGAGUGAAGAAGGUUUUCGGAUCGUAAAGCUCUGUUGUAAGUCAAGAACGUGUGUGAGAGUGGAAAGUUCACACAGUGACGGUAGCUUACCAGAAAGGGACGGCUAACUACGUGCCAGCAGCCGCGGUAAUACGUAGGUCCCGAGCGUUGUCCGGAUUUAUUGGGCGUAAAGGGAGCGCAGGCGGUCAGGAAAGUCUGGAGUAAAAGGCUAUGGCUCAACCAUAGUGUGCUCUGGAAACUGUCUGACUUGAGUGCAGAAGGGGAGAGUGGAAUUCCAUGUGUAGCGGUGAAAUGCGUAGAUAUAUGGAGGAACACCAGUGGCGAAAGCGGCUCUCUGGUCUGUCACUGACGCUGAGGCUCGAAAGCGUGGGUAGCGAACAGGAUUAGAUACCCUGGUAGUCCACGCCGUAAACGAUGAGUGCUAGGUGUUAGGCCCUUUUCGGGGCUUAGUGCCGGAGCUAACGCAAUAAGCACUCCGCCUGGGGAGUACGACCGCAAGGUUGAAACUCAAAGGAAUUGACGGGGGCCCGCACAAGCGGUGGAGCAUGUGGUUUAAUUCGAAGCAACGCGAAGAACCU
rnacentral:rRNA from 1 species